CAGUAGCCGCGGUAAUACGAAGGGUGCAAGCGUUAAUCGGAAUUACUGGGCGUAAAGCGCGCGUAGGUGGUUCGCCAAGUUGGAUGUGAAAUCCCCGGGCUCAACCUGGGAACUGCAUCCAAAACUGGCGAGCUAGAGUAUGGUAGAGGGUGGUGGAAUUUCCUGUGUAGCGGUGAAAUGCGUAGAUAUAGGAAGGAACAUCAGUGGCGAAGGCGACCACCUGGACUGAUACUGACACUGAGGUGCGAAAGCGUGGGGAGCAAACAGUAUUAGAUACCCCUGUAGUCCCUGUCUCUUAUAC
rnacentral:rRNA from 1 species